UACGUAGGGUGCAAGCGUUGUCCGGAUUUAUUGGGCGUAAAGGGCGCGUAGGCGGCCAGUGCAAGUCAGUUGUGAAAUCUCCGAGCUUAACUCGGAAAGGUCAACUGAUACUGCUCGGCUAGAGUGCGGAAGGGGCAACUGGAAUUCUUGGUGUAGCGGUGAAAUGCGUAGAUAUCAAGAGGAACACCUGCGGCGAAGGCGGGUUGCUGGGCCGACACUGACGCUGAUGCGCGAAAGCUAGGGGAGCGAACGGG
rnacentral:rRNA from 1 species